AGAGUUUGAUUAUGGCUCAGGAUGAACGCUAGCUACAGGCUAACACAUGCAAGUCGAGGGGCAGCAGGACGAUAGCUUGCUAUUGUUGCUGGCGACCGGCGCACGGGUGAGUAACGCGUAUCCAACCUUCCCCUUAGUAGGGCAUAGCCCGGUGAAAAUCGGAUUAAUACCCUAUGUUGUGUCAUGAGGACAUCUGAAUAACACUAAAGAUUUAUCGCUAAGGGAUGGGGAUGCGUCCGAUUAGGUAGUCGGCGGGGUAACGGCCCACCGAGCCCUCGAUCGGUAGGGUUCUGAGAGGAAGGUCCCCCACACUGGUACUGAGACACGGACCAGACUCCUACGGGAGGCAGCAGUGAGGAAUAUUGGUCAAUGGGCGCGAGCCUGAACCAGCCAAGUAAGCGUGCAGGAUGACGGCCCUAUGGGUUGUAAACUGCUUUUAUACGGGGAUAAAGUGAGGGACGUGUCCCUUAUUGUAGGUACCGUAUGAAUAAGGACCGGCUAAUUCCGUGCCAGCAGCCGC
rnacentral:rRNA from 1 species